AACGAACGCUGGCGGCAGGCUUAACACAUGCAAGUCGAGCGCCCCGCAAGGGGAGCGGCCGACGGGUGAGUAACGCGUGGGAACGUACCUUUUGGUUCGGAACAACUCCGGGAAACUGGAGCUAAUACCGGAUAAGCCCUAACGGGGAAAGAUUUAUCGCCGAAAGAUCGGCCCGCGUCUGAUUAGCUAGUUGGUGAGGUAACGGCUCACCAAGGCGACGAUCAGUAGCUGGUCUGAGAGGAUGAUCAGCCACACUGGGACUGAGACACGGCCCAGACUCCCACGGGAGGCAGCAGUGGGGAAUAUAGGACAAUGGACGCAAGCAUGAUCCAGCCAUGCCGCGUAAGUGAUGAAGGCAGUAGGGUUGUAAAGAACUUUUGAACGGGAAGAUAAUGACGGUACCGGAAGAAUAAGCCCAGGCUAACUUCGUG
rnacentral:rRNA from 1 species